AGAAAGUUUCAACCCUGUGAAUUGAACAACUACAUCACAAAGUAUUUUCUGAGAAUGUUUCUGUCUAGUUUUUACGUGAAGAUAUUUCUUUUUCCACCAUGGGCAAGAAAGCACUCCAAAUGAACACUUGCAGAUUCUACAAAAAGUAUGUUUCAACCCUGCUGUAUCAAAAGAAAGUUUCAAGCCUGUGAGUUGAAUCCCCACAUCACAAAGCAGUUUCUGAGAAUGCUUCUGCCUAGUUUUUAGGUGAAGAUAUAUCCUUUUCCAUCUUAGGCCUCAAAUCUCUCCAAACAUCCACUUGCAGAUACUUCAAAAAGACUGUUUCAAAACUGCUCUCAAAAGGAAGGUUCAACUCUGUGAGUUGAAUGCACACAUCACAACGCAGUGUCUGAGAAUGCUUCUGUCUAGUUUGUAUGUGAAGAUAUUUCCUUUUCCAUCUUAGGCCUCAAAUCGAUCCAAAUAUCCAAUUGCAGAUACCACAAAAAGACUGCUUCAAAACAGCUCUCGCAAAAGGAAAGUUCAACUCUGUGAGUUGAAUGCACACAACACAGAGCAGUUUCUGAGAAUGCUUCU
rnacentral:lncRNA from 1 species